CCCUUAGAUGUUCUGGGCCGCACGCGCGCUACACUGACGAAGUCAGCGAGCAUGUCCUACGCCGACAGGUGCGGGGAAUCUUGUCAAACUUCGUCGUGAUGGGGAUUGAUUAUUGAAAUUCUUGAUCAUCAACGAGGAAUUCCUAGUAAGCGCAAGUCAGCAGCUUGCGUUGAUUACGUCCCUGCCCUUUGUACACACCGCCCGUCGCUACUACAGAUUGAAUGGUUUAGUGAGAUCUUCGGAUUGGCGCCACUGCGGCUCAGCAAUGGGCUCGGUGGAUGCCGAAAAGUUGAUCAAACUUGAUCAUUUAGAGGAAGUAAAAGUCGUAACA
rnacentral:rRNA from 1 species